UACGGAGGGUGCAAGCGUUGUCCGGAAUCACUGGGCGUAAAGGGCGCGUAGGCGGCUCGGUAAGUAGGGGGUGAAAUCCUGCGGCUUAACCGCAGGGCUGCCUUCUAAACUGUCGAGCUCGAGCACGGUAGAGGCAGAUGGAAUUCCUGGUGUAGCGGUGGAAUGCGCAGAUAUCAGGAGGAACACCAACGGCGAAGGCAGCCCGCUGGGACGGUACUGACGCUAAGGCGCGAAAGCGUGGGGAGCGAACAGG
rnacentral:rRNA from 1 species